rnacentral:rRNA from 1 species
GGGACUCAGGUCAGGCGGGGCUACCCGCUGAGUUUAAGCAUAUCAAUAAGC